rnacentral:rRNA from 1 species
UACGUAGGGGGCAAGCGUUGUCCGGAUUAUUGGGCGUAAAGAGCGUGUAGGCGGCUUGGUAGGUCCGCUGUGAAAACUCGAGGCUCAACCUCGAGAUGUCGGCGGAAACCACUUGGCUAGAGUCCGGAAGAGGAGAGUGGAAUUCCUGGUGUAGCGGUGAAAUGCGCAGAUAUCAGGAAGAACACCUAUGGCGAAGGCAGCCUCUCGUGGGACGGUACUGACGCUGAGACGCGAAAGCGUGGGGAGCGAACAGG